rnacentral:rRNA from 1 species
AACGGGGGGGGCGAGCGUUAUUCGUCGUUAUUGGGCGUAAAGGGUGCGUAGGCGGCAUGAUAAGUUAUUGGCGGCAAAUCGAGGCUCAACCUCGUGGAAACUGAUAAUACUGUCUUGCUUGAGUGCAGAAGAGGUUAACGGAACUCCAUGUGGAGCGGUAAAAUGUGUAGAUAUAUGGAAGAACAUCAAUAACGGCGAAGGCAGUUAACUAUUCUGUUACUGACGUUGAGGCACGAAAGCGUGGGGAGCAAAAAGG